rnacentral:rRNA from 1 species
UUGUAAACUCCUUUCGCUAUCGACGAAGCCACUUGUGGUGACGGUAGGUAGAUAAGAAGCACCGGCUAACUACGUGCCAGCAGCCGCGGUAAUACGUAGGGUGCAAGCGUUGUCCGGAAUUACUGGGCGUAAAGAGCUCGUAGGUGGUUUGUCGCGUCGUCUGUGAAAUCCCGGGGCUUAACUUCGGGCGUGCAGGCGAUACGGGCAUAACUUGAGUGCUGUAGGGGAGACUGGAAUUCCUGGUGUAGCGGUGAAAUGCGCAGAUAUCAGGAGGAACACCGAUGGCGAAGGCAGGUCUCUGGGCAGUAACUGACGCUGAGGAGCGAAAGCAUGGGUAGCGAACAGGAUUAGAUACCCUGGUAGUCCAUGCCGUAAACGGCGGGCGCUAGGUGUAGGGGGCUUCCACGUCUUCUGUGCCGUAGCUAACGCAUUAAGCGCCCCGCCUGGGGAGUACGGCCGCA